UCCAGACUCCUACGGGAGGCAGCAGUGGGGAAUAUUGCACAAUGGGGGAAACCCUGAUGCAGCGACGCCGCGUGAGUGAAGAAGUAAUUCGUUAUGUAAAGCUCUCUCAGCAGGGAAGAAAAUGACGGUACCUGAGUAAGAAGCCCCGGCUAACUACGUGCCAGCAGCCGCGGUAAUACGUAGGGGGCAAGCGUUAUCCGGAUUUACUGGGUGUAAAGGGAGCGUAGACGGCUGCGCAAGUCAGAAGUGAAAGCCCGGGGCUCAACCGCGGGACUGCUUUUGAAACUGUGUAGCUAGAGUGCAGGAGAGGUAAGUGGAAUUCCUAGUGUAGCGGUGAAAUGCGUAGAUAUUAGGAGGAACACCGGUGGCGAAGGCGGCUUACUGGACUGUAACUGACGUUGAGGCUCGAAAGCGUGGGGAGCAAACAGGAUUAGAUACCCUUGUA
rnacentral:rRNA from 1 species